rnacentral:misc_RNA from 1 species
GUUCGGUUUAACCACCCACGCCGGCCACGGCCUCUCACCGGCCGGCCAAGCCUUACCUAGAAGCAACAACGGCAACCACCUUCCUCCGACGAGCUGGGUAGUAGGCGGCGGUGGUGGAGAAUCACAUCAACAAGGUAUCAAUCUAAGAUCUAGCAAUGGAAAUCUGAACGGGAAAUUGAUCCGAUACGCCGCCGGUCCUGCAAAUUCGUCGGGAUUUCUCGGUGAUAAAGCGGGGGAGAAUUUAAGAGCUAGAACUGAAGGUAUGGUGGAACCAUG